CACCGCGGUUAUACGAGAGGCCCUAGUUGAUAACUACCGGCGUAAAGAGUGGUUACGGAAAAAUAUUUAAUAAAGCCGAACACCCCCUCAGCCGUCAUACGCACCUGGGGGCACGAAGAUCUACUACGAAAGCAGCUUUAAUUAUACCUGAACCCACGACAGCUACGACA
rnacentral:rRNA from 1 species